rnacentral:rRNA from 1 species
AACGAACGCUGGCGGCACGUUUUAAGCAUGCAAGUCGAACGGCAGUGGGGGCAACCCCAUGAGAGUGGCGAACGGGUGAGUAACACGUAGGUGAUCUGCCUUUGGGUUGGGGAUAGCUUGUGGAAACACAGGGUAAUACCGGAUGAGCUGACGACGCUUUGGCGAUGUUAGUAAAGGUGCUACGGCACCGCCUAGAGAGGAGCCUGCGGCUGAUUAGCUAGUUGGUGGGGUAAAGGCCUACCAAGGCGACGAUCAGUAGCCGGCCUGGAAGGGGGUACGGCCCCACUGGAACUGAGACACGGUCCAGACUCCUACGGGAGGCAGCAGCUAAGAAUCUUCCACAAUGGGCGAAAGCCUGACGGAGCGAUGCCGCGUGAUCGAUGAAGGUCGAGAGAUUGUAAAGAUCUUUUCCAACUGAGGAAUAAGCCUAGGAGGGAAUGCCUGGGUGAUGACGUUAAGUUGGGAAUAAGCCCCGGCUAAUUACGUGCCAGCCGCCGCCGUAAAAC